rnacentral:lncRNA from 1 species
UAAAGACUUAAAAAAACCAACCAUAUAAAGAAAAUUACAUUCUGCAUUCUUUAUGGUUUUAGCGAAACCUUUAACUUUAGUAUUCCAACUCAUAAAUUCUAGAAUGUCUUCAGAAGCGGUCAUGUACUAUUUAAUACUCAAUAAUUAAUUGGCAAAAUUUUUACUUUUUAGAAAUACUCUAGAAACAGCAGAGUUGCUAGAAUUCCUAUUCUACCUUAGUUUAAUCCUAAGUAUUUCUCUUUAGCCUUUAACAAGAAAGAUAGUAAUUCUUUGGCAUUAUUGGGAAUGAAAACUUUCCAAGUUCAAUGUUAUUGAAAGUUCCCCCAAACAUAUUUAUAUAUAGGAAAAGGAACAAAAGCAGUUGAGAAAAUACCAUUUUCAUUUCUUUGAUGUGCAUCAUCUAAAAAGUAGAUAGAGACAGGGAAUAGAGUAGGGAUAAUAACAGUAAUGUAUUAUGUUCUAUCAAAAUAGUAUUGGAAAAGGCUUCACUUAAAACUG